rnacentral:rRNA from 1 species
UGAGUAACACGUGAGUGACCUGCCUUUUAGACUGGAACAACUUACCGAAAGGUGAGCUAAUGCCGGACGAGUUAUAUAAGUGCAUGUUUAUAUAGGAAAAGUUGGGGAGACCUGACGCUGAAAGAUGGACUCGCGUCCCAUUAGCUAGUUGGUAGGGUAAUGGCCUACCAAGGCGACGAUGGGUAGCCGGCCUGAGAGGGUGGCCGGCCACACUGGGACUGAGACACGGCCCAGACUCCUACGGAAGGCAGCAG